rnacentral:lncRNA from 1 species
UGAAGAUGGGCCUAUGGUUUAGUGGGCUAGCCCAGCCCAUCUAGCUUAUUUCUUCACGUUACAAUACUAACACCUAAUUGCGCCUAAUUUCACCUAAUCACGCCUAAGCUAGAAAAGCGCAAGUAGGUGCCCAAACGCAUAAUUAGCGCCUAGCGCUUUUUUGAACUUUGCAAAAUAUAGGUAUGGAUCUCUAUUACAACAACGACUACACACUUUUUCCAGAGUGACUUAUAUAUAUAUGCUUGAUACAACUAUCUUCUACACAUCGCCCUUGCUCCAGAAUCGGCUGCGGUCUCAGGUUCCUUCUCCCACUAACCACCAGUGUCACAAUUUUGUUGUGGUUAUUCUGAAUAGCUGUCGUUGUCUCCCCCUGAGACUUGUGCGUGAGAAGAGGCGACCCAUUGAACAUGCAUUGUUAUACGCCAGGCAAGAAAUCUCCGCACUGCACCACGCACCGCCAACCACAAUGCCAUGUCCAUGAUCAAAAUUAAGAAGUGUUUUUGGCUCCCAGCCUUGGCCAAAAACUGCCAUCAGAACGCCAUGUGGUCUCUUAAGAGGCGGGAAAGAUUCUGGGGAAGCACCAGGACAUACCUUCUACAUCUCAGUGGUCGUGAUGGGUGGCGUUGAUCUCGUCGCCCCCUAGCAAUGGCUCCAUGGAGGGUUAGGGUUUUUUCGGAGCGUGCUUUUCCAUUGGAUGAGAUGUGUGCCUCCCUCCCGUGAGCUUGCGACAAUGCACUCGUGACCGUCGUCCUCCAUGCGUCAUUGCCACAUGAAACUGAAUGAAGAAACAGUAAGCAUAUUGCUUCAUGAAAAAUCAAAUACUAUUGCAACUAAAUGUAUAACACAGUAAUGAGAGUUUCGAGGUUCUUGUGUGUAUAGUCAGCUGGCAAUAAGGUACAAAUAUGUCCUUCUUUCAUCAGUUUCACGUUUGUAGCACUGACAAUACUUUUAAGCCACUGACUAUUAUAAUCUAUGAAAGAAUCCUCCUGAGCAAACAAACUCGGGCCAUAUGAGUCUAUUUUAUUUUUUAUUUUGUAGGAAACCAUGUAAAGUCCACUGAUAUUUGAUAGUUGAAAAAUUGGAAACUAAACAUUAGCAUAUUCUAGGGGACCAACACAAGUGAGAUAUGUGGCCAGCGGUAAAGAAUAUUAACCACUCAAAACAUAAACAAAAUUGUUCAACCUGAUGUACCUGGAAAUUAUCGGCGUGAAUAAAUGUCACUUUAAAAAAUAGCCUUGAAUUUUUCUAUAGUUAAUUGCCCGUGUGAUGCAACAGAGACAUACAUAUUUGAGUGGCUCAAUGACAAUCGUCCUGUAAAUCUUCCCUCCCUCUCUGAUCUUCCUCUCUCUACAUAUAUGCCCAUCUCCCUUCCUCCUAUCUCCCUCUCUCUACAUAUAUCCCCAUCUUCCUUCCUCCGGUCUCCCUUCCUUCCACCCUCUCUCGCUCAUUGUAGGCGUCACAGGGGACAGACAUUUUGUAAAGUACUAAUAAUUUCCAAGGACCAUUGUUCGCCUACAUCUAUAGCACAUGCCUCCCUUCCUCCCACCCACUCUUCCUAAGGUCUUCCUACCUUCCUAAGGUCUUCCCACGACAAAUGAAAGGGAACAGACAAGUAGCGGAGGUUUGCUUCGGAUAUUCUUCCAUUGAGAUACCAUGCUGAACGGAAGCUUCUUCGUCGAUUCCUGCACCUAUAUAACAAUCAUCAAGCAUAUCAAAUAGGGCUUGGUGUUCAGUAAGCAACUGGAAAGGAUUAAAUGGAGUCCGCCUUUCACGAAGUGCCUACCAAUGUAUCCCGUCGGAUGUCUCUUGCGUCAACUCUAUAAAACACUUGUAACAAACUUCUUCCCUGCUCAAUAUAUUGGAGCAACUAUGCUGCAUUUGUAGAAGAAAAUGACUCACAAGGAACAAUCAUUUUCUCUAGAUAAAACAUAAGAAACAAGAUGUAUGUUGACUUACUCCUUUAAAUCAAACAUGCUCCAUGGCAUGGCACAAGUCUUCAUGUUCCUAUCAAAACCGCAACCGAGUUGCAGAAGCACUUGGUCUUAUCUCGUAAUCUAGCAAAUAAUCAGAACUACCACCAAAUGUGACUACCACGGUACCACAAUGCUAUGUCAUGGUAUCACAUAUCAAUCCGUCAUAAGUCAUAAGACAAGAAUAAUACUAUAGCCAAGAUCUAAAUGGGGCUUCACUGCAUCUACAACUGGAUUUUCAAAGAAGCAUAACUGAAGCAUGUUGAAUAAGUACAAAGAGAUUCUAAUGAUGUAUAUCUGUAUGUGCAGCAAGUUGGAAAGUAAGAGACGCAGACAGCAAGCAAUUGUCAGAGCAGUUCAAAAUAUCAUGAUUAACCAGCGGCAAAUAAAUCAUGAAACAUGGGAUGUAACUUUCAACAAAUAAACCAAACAUCUUAAUCUCAGCACCCAUCGGCAUUGCAGGUGACGACCAUGUUGCUGCCCUUGCCAUUUUGGUUACGGUCAUCCAAAUCUUCCUCCUCGUCCUUUGAUAUAAAUAAUGCCCAGCAUUGUGAACACCGCGACUCGGUUUUGACCUGCAUCCAUGCGAGUGAGGUGGAUCAGAGACUGAUCUUGCAUGAAAAGAAGAGGAAAACUAUGGGAAAAUAGAGGAACCCCAAUGAAUCUUGUUCGCAUACAUUUGGUGUGUAGAUGGAUGGUUGCGACAGUGCAACAACAACGCAUGCCGGCAUCAAAUGGAAUAUUUCUUACGACGAUCGCUUGCAAGACUCGGUAGGGCGGAGGAGCCUUGGUUUAGAUGGCUACGGUCUGUGUCGGCUACGUUCUUUCCAUUAGAGCAUGUACGUACGCAGUGGUUGCUAAAUGUGCACAUUCAGCUCAGAAUUCAAGAAUCAAGAAACUGUAUUACUAAUAAAGACUAAAUGUGCACAUUCCAAUGGUGAACUACAAGGAUGCUACUACAACAGAAUCGAUAUUAAAUCAGAAUUACAGAAGACUGAAGAAAUUACUGUUAUAAGCACUCUUCAAAAGUUCAGAACCAGAUAUACUUGCUAAACUUUGUAAGUUCUUAAACUGUAUAAAUCUAGGAUCCUAAAUCUGUUUUCGUUGGCCAACACAAACAAUCUGCAAACUUAAUAGAAAAGAAUGCAAAGAGAAGAAAAAAGGCAAACCUUAUGUGUGAAUCAAUGGAUUGUGUGCCCGGCAGCCAAGCCACAACCAUCCACACAGAUGAGCCUCGUCCAAAUUCUUGUACAGUACAUUAUACGUCUGUUCCAUCACAAUUGGAACAUCCAGACAUCAAAUAAACGCUAGCCAGCGAGAUCCCUAGCCCCCGCCGAGCCGACUGUAUCAUCACUAUGAUCCAGCCAAGGAGCAGCCACGCUUGGCAGGGGAAGGACCACGCCGACGCCAUCGACGCAGAUGAGCAGCGUGCAACCUGCCCCCACGGGUCUCAUCGCAGAAGAUGCCGACGGAAACAGGGACCUGGCCGACAUCACCUCCAUCAUCCCGGACACGGUGUGCCAGGAUGGCCGCCAUGGGGAGUGGCUGCCACAGCCGCGAUUCAUGCAGAGACGGAAGACGUGGCGCGACAGCGGAGUUGGGAGAGAUAGAAGACCGCGGGGCAGCCGGGGGAGGGGGGCGGCGGCAAUGAUUAUGCGUAUCCUGGAGUUCGUCGGCAGGGUUUGAAACCGCCCUGCCCUGGAGACUUGGCGGCGGCGAUUCCCGGAGUUCGGCGGCGGUGACGCCCCAGCCGCUCCAACCCCUUAGCGAUGCGGCCGCCCGCUCCCAUCCUCAGUGCCCGCAACACGAGUUGGCGUCUAGGGUUAGCCGCAGCCCACAGGGGCGCGCGCAGGGGGGAACAGCGAGGAGGUGCUGGGGAUCGAUGGGGGAGACAGGGGUGGAGCCACGUUGGUGGCAGCUGACGCGAGAGCCGGAUGGCGUCGCCGGCAGCGUCGACAAGAAUCAGAGAGGGUGGCGGCGGCGGAUCUCCGAGGUGGCGAAGGGCUCCGCAGCUAGAGCGUCCUUGAUGAUGGAAUGAGGAAACGGAUCGAGGGGAUUCAAGGGCAGCAGGAACCCGCUCGUACCUGCCCUAGCAUCUGUUUUUUUAUUGGUUAAUUUUCGUAGGUUAAUUUUCGUAGUUUUUUUACAUCCGUUUUUCUUUCAAUUGACCGGAGGUUCGCACCCUUGUCCCAUUGCAAUCUCAGUUUUUUUUUUGACGCUUGUCGGUUCAGUGCGGAAUUCGCUAGGAGGUGGGAGGUGGGAUUGAGGACGAAAAUAAACCAUCUCUGGUGGGACGAAAAUUGACCGACGGAGACUACCAACUGCUCCAUUAGGAGUAGAGAUGCAUGGAUGCCGAUCGAUCUUCCUCAAUACAUAGCUUGGUCUCUCUCCUUCUCCAUGCAUAUACCAGUUGAUCUACCUCUCUAUGGUUAGGUCUCUGACCACCCUACACACACCAAUAGUCGAACGCCGUAGGUAGGUAUCCAUGCCACAAAGACAAAAUGCACCUCUCCCCUCUCACAUUCUAGUAGGCCAGCCACCCUAUAUCUUUGACGUGGGCAAACACAAAUUCGAUGGCACUCUUUAUCGAUCGUGCACCCACACACUUCAUCCCUCUCUCUGAUUCUAUCGAUAUCUCACCCCGAUGAUCCCUCCAAUCUCUUCUCGUAGAUCGCUCCCCUCUAUAUAUGAUAUAUCCAGGCCUCUGUUCCACACACAUUGCAUGUGUUAUAUUUUUUUAGUUUGAGAUAUCAUCGACACAUUGCCUCUGUUUCGCACAAACCAUCUCUCUCACACACACCCACUUACGUGGGGUACCUGCACGUAGAGAAGAGGUGCACGCAUGACGCAUGUACUCACGUCUCGUUCCCGGCACACCCGCGCGGGUACACGGUGGAGCUCAUUUCUAAACGAAAAGGCAACCCACGUGAUAGUUUGACGCAUGGAGCGAUUGUUUACUUGAAGGAGGGUCAUGUACCACGCAUACACAGAACAAAGUUCGACGUGACACGUUAGUUUUAAAUAAAGUUAUAUUUCUGAAUGGCAUGUACAGAAUAUAGAAUGAUUGGUAUCGAGAAAAACGAAAUCCGCUCCACUCUAUACAAUGGAGCCUGCCUGUCGGGCUUUGUCUCUCGUCACACUAUCUCACACACGGCGGCGAUGGCCCUCUCUCUCUCACCGUUGGUCACCGGUCCGGCCGCAUACCGUCCGCUGGCGGAAAGGGAGGAUGUGCAUCAUUUCUCCGUUCAAUGGCGUCGAGGCAGCACGUCCCGAUCUACGAUAUCCGACGUUCUCUCUGACGAACCUCUGGCGUGGUAUGGGCAGAUCCCGGCCGCCGGCGCCCUCCUAGUUACACCCUGACUACCCUCAUGUACAGCUUCCUCCGGCCUUACUCCACUGUCCAUCUUCCCACGUUGCUGAAAAUCCUGCAUGUGGAUCUUCCCUAGAUCUUUUCCCAAAGCGUAGCUCAGCCUGCGUACUUUCCAUGUUGCAAUCUCGUCCUCACACCGUUUUACAUAAACAAUUGUGUUGCUAUCUUCCCUUAGGACAAGUAAUAUGCUUAUUUUUUAUCAGCGUAUGUGUCAUAAACUGUUAUUGGCCAGUAAUUGUUUCCUUUCUACCUUUUUUUGCAAACAAGGCUAUCCAUUUUACCUCGUCACUAUUGCGACCUUUUGGUGAACUGCACAAAUCAAUUUUUUCUUAAGAGUGUUUUGUGCAGCUUUGCCGAAAUGUCACGCGGGCAAUGUUUGUACAUUUCAGUGGGACUGCACAAAGGGAGAUUGGUUUUGCUCUACCCUCCUCAUCCAACUCCGAGCCUAAUCUUCUCCAACUAUUUGCUUAAUCUUCUCCAACUAGUCAGUCUUAAGAGAGACUGCAAAGGUGACCGGCUUCUAUUUGUGUGUGUAUUGUUUCAUCAACAGUCCUCUAUUAUUGUAAUCACACUUACUCAAUAUCUUUGGAACAUGGAUGCUCAGCUCUAUUUUAGUGGAACUACACAAAAUGAUCAGAAUGUUCCAUGCUCCUGACAGCUACUUUGUUUCCCAACAUGCCUUGUUGAUAUAGACAGAGCUAGGGGGAAGUUGCUGCCAAUGAAAGCAUGGAUCAAUUUUAAUUUAACACCUUCUCACAACUUUGUCUUUAGUUGUGAUGUAAAUAUUAGCUUUGAUCUGCUAAUCACUGAGAUGCAUUAGCAAGGAAGUUAGUUUUUAUAUUUUUUUUCGAAAGAGCAUGGAUGUUAGUUUCCUUUCUAGUAUUUGAUUGAUGUUGUAGCGAGACAACCUUCCAGCUGACAAGACACAUGAAACAAAAGUUGAAAGCUUCAGAGCAUUGUACAAUUUCAUGUCGCUGGAGAAAUAUUUGUACAUCAAUUAUGCAAACAAAUUCUAGAAGGUCGAUAACAUUGCCAGAAGCAAUUCAGCAUCCGGGGCCAUGUGCCAAGCACCAAAUUAGAGUGCACAACCUCGAUGGGAGACUCAGCUCGGUCGUUGCGACACACUAAUAGUAAGUAAUGAGCAGUCAAAUCAUAAGCCCCACCUUUCCCACUAUAAGUUGCUCGGACGAAGCAACCAUCAAUACGCUCUUCUUUGAAUCGGCUCAUACUAGUAUGAAGGUGCAAAACCAAGUGCGCGUAUGGACUGUCGGUCAAUAUGCUUCUUCUUGGCAUACCACUGACAUGUGGGACUGGAGUGUGAGCAAACCGAUCUCAAUUGACGGCAAAUGGCCGCUCCUUGAAGCUUAGACAAGGAGCAAGAACACAGACGGGCUAUGUAUCGCACAGAGGCCAAGAAAUAUUAGAGCAUGGUUGAUCGACGUCAUCAUUACAUGUUUGAUGUUUUUAAUAGUACUAUUGGGCUGUCGUUUUCCACACUUCUCCUGAAUAAAUGUGUACUUUAUCACAGAUUGAAAUAAAAUAAGAGUGAAGACGCUCCACCAUGCGGUUCCUAGUACCUGUACACUAGUAGUACUGCUCGUACUACUAAACCUUGCGCUUGGCUCUUCGCCUCUUCGGGAAGUUGAACAAUGAUGGUGCUACGGUGUAUGCCUCUGGCAAUCUGACAUCGAAUGAACCGUUGCACGUCCACCGCCUAGGCGAGGGUAGGUUGCAUUAGUCAAAAGCUUCUCAUCGUCCUGCGAGCCACCACGCUUGAGGUAGACGGAGAGGGUGUAAGCAAGCUUCACCUUGUCCUGCAAGCUUCUCCUUGUUCUGCGAGUUGACGGGAUGCACCAAAGUAAUGCUAGUCCAUACUGCCUCCUUUUCGAUUAAUAUGACUUAAUUUUUUUGCGGGUAAAUGAGAUAGCUUUAGUCAUAUAUAAGCAUUCUUAGGACAAUCAGCCAAGAGGUUGGUCACUAGGAAGCCAGAUACUAUCCUGGAAAAAAAGGAAACGAGGUGUUUCAUCAAGCCAGCCCUCGGUCACAUUCAAAGUGCAAGCACGCUUCGCACAAAGAUGCGUCGGAAGGUUUGCUGACCUGUUGAUGCGUCCAUUUUGCAACAUGCUUUUAUAUCGAUAUUUAUUGCAUUAUGGGUUUCUUUUACACGUUAUGUCACAAUACUUAUGGCUAUUCUCUCUUAUUUUACAACGUUUACAUGAAGAGGGGGAAUGCCGGCAGCUGCGAUUCUGGGCUGGAAAAGGAGUAAAUAUUAGAGACCUAUUCUACACAGCUCCAAAAGUCCUGAAACUCCACGAAAGUCAUUUUGGGAAUUAAUAAAAAAUAUUGAGCGGAAGAAAUACCAGAGGGGGCCCACACCUUGGCCACGAGGGUGGGGGCGCACCCUACCCCCCCCCUCCUCCCCCUGGGCGCGCCCCCUGCCUCGUGGGCCACCUGGCAGCCCUCCGGUGCCCAUCUUUUGCUAUAUGAAGUCUUUUACCCUAGAAAAAGUAAUAAGCAAGCUUUCGGGAUGAAAAUCCGCCGCCACGAGGCGGAACCUUGGCGGAACCCAUCUAGGGCUCCGGCGGAGCUAUUCUACUGGGGGAAACUUCCCUCCUAGAGGGGUAAAUCAUCACCAUUGGCAUCACCAACGAUCCUCUCAUUGGGAGGGGCUCAAUCUCCAUCAACAUCUUCACCAGCACCAUCUCCUCUCAAACCCUAGUUCAUCUCUUGUAUCCAAUCUUUGUCCCAAAACCUCAGAUUGGUACCUACAGGUUUCUAGUAGUGUUGAUUACUCCUUGUAGUUGAUGCUAGUUGGUUUAUUCGGUGGAAGAUCAUAUGUCAGAUCAUUAAUGCAUAUUAAUACCCCUCUGAUUAUGAACAUGGAUAUGCUUUAUGAGUAGUUACGUUUGUUCUUGAGGACAUGGGUGAAGUCUUGCUAUUAGUAGCCAUGUGAAUUUGGUAUUCAUUCGAUAUUUUGAUGAGAUGCAUGUAUGUUGUCUCUCCUCUAGUGGUGUUAUGUGAACGUCGACUACAUGACACCUGUCACGCCCCGGAUUUGAUGCGUCAUGUGUCUGCCAGUUAUUCGCCGUCGUUGCCAUGUCAUUUGCUUGCAUGUUGCAUUUUAUCAUGUCAUCAUGUGCAUCUCGUUUUGCAUACGUGUUCGUCUCAUGCAUCCGAGCAUUUUCCCCGUUGUCCGUUUUGCAAUCCGGCGCUCCUAUGCCCUCCGGCGUCCCCCUUUUUGUCUCUCGUUGUGAGCGGGUGUUAAACGUUCUCGGAAUGGACCGUGAUUUGCCAAGUGGUCUUGGUAUAGAACCGGUAGACCGCCUGUCAAGUUUCGUGCCAUUUGGAGGUCGUUUGAUACUCCAACGGUUAACCGGGGAACCGUUAAAGCCUCUUUUGUCUUGCAGCCCAACACCCCUCCAAAGUGGCCCAAAACCCAUCCUAAUCCCCUCCAUGCUCUCGGUCGUUCGAUCACGAUCGCGUGGCCGAAAACCGCUCCUCAUUUGGACUCUCCUAGCUCCCUCUACCUAUAAAAAUGCCUCCCCCUUCGAAAUUUCGCAGUCCAAACCCCCGAAACCCUAGCCUCUUCCUCCUCUUGCCACCGGACGUGUCCACCCCGCGCGGACACGUCCAGCGCCGCCGCCCGCGCCCACUCCAGAGCUGCCACGUGGAGCUCUACCGCCCGCCGCCGCCGCGGCCCACGGAGCCCAUCCGGGGCCCGCACGGNNNNNNNNNNNNNNNNNNNNNNNNNNNNNNNNNNNNNNNNNNNNNNNNNNNNNNNNNNNNNNNNNNNNNNNNNNNNNNNNNNNNNNNNNNNNNNNNNNNNNNNNNNNNNNNNNNNNNNNNNNNNNNNNNNNNNNNNNNNNNNNNNNNNNNNNNNNNNNNNNNNNNNNNNNNNNNNNNNNNNNNNNNNNNNNNNNNNNNNNNNNNNNNNNNNNNNNNNNNNNNNNNNNNNNNNNNNNNNNNNNNNNNNNNNNNNNNNNNNNNNNNNNNNNNNNNNNNNNNNNNNNNNNNNNNNNNNNNNNNNNNNNNNNNNNNNNNNNNNNNNNNNNNNNNNNNNNNNNNNNNNNNNNNNNNNNNNNNNNNNNNNNNNNNNNNNNNNNNNNNNNNNNNNNNNNNNNNNNNNNNNNNNNNNNNNNNNNNCGCGGGCUCCACCCCGCGCCCUGCCGGCUUCCUCGCCUGCCGCCGACCCCGGCCUCCUUCGCCUCGCCGCCCCUGCCAUCUCCUGCGAGCCCGCCUCGCCUCGAAGUCCGUGCCGCCCGAUCCAGAUCUGAAACCACCGCCGUUGACUUUUCCCCGAGGUGGAUUUCUCUCCAAGUCCCCAUAGUUUUCAGCAUUUUGGUCACCUGUUCAUCGCAUCGUAACUCUCUGCAUACUACUCCGUUUACUGCGUGUAAUAUGUCAAAAUGUUCGCUGUGAGAUGCUCUACAUUUCAUUCCAUUGCACCAUGUUUAUUUGAGUGCAUCUUGAUGCCUGAAUCAUCGUUGCAAGAGUGCUAUAUGAUGUUAAUCUGCUGAAACUGUUAUAACUUGCUGAUUUGUUACUUUUGUUGCAUUUUGUGUGUGCAUCCUAUGAGGUUGAUCUCUACAUGUGUUUUGAACUACAUCAUGCCAUAUUUACAGGGGUGCUUGUCAUGCAUUUUUUUGAGUCUUUUAGUGAGUGCAUCAAGCUUGUUAAGUAGGGUACUUGUUGUUGCUGUUUUGCUAGGCUGAAUCUGUUAUUUGUGAUGCUAUGUAAACCUGCUGCUACAAGUCAUUCUAUGCAUAAUCUGGAGAUGUUCACUAAGGAUGUUUUGUUAUACAUGUCAUGCUAUAUCCAUCCAUGCCCCUGGUUGCAUUUAUAGCAUGCUGUAGCUUGUUGUAAUCUUGCUCCAAAGUUGCUAAAUAAUGUUGUUGUCGGCCUGUUAACAUGAAGUUCAGUUUUGCCAUGAGAUUUGCUAGUGAUCCAUGCACCCUAUGAACUUGUUCUUGCCAUGCUUAGCUUCACAGUCAUGUCUUCUUACUGUUGGUUGCCUUAUCAUGCCAUGUAAUGAUCUGUGGUGAGUGGUACAAGCUCACCAACAUGCCUACUUAUCGUUGUUCCUGCCAUGUUUGAACCUGUCAUAUCAUUUGCCAUGUUUACAUGGGUGCCAUCAUAUCUUCUGAUCCUUUUUGGCUCUUGGUCAGUAAAGGACUUUUGUUCUAUGAAAUUAGUAGAUUCAUGCCAUUCCUUUUUUUCCAUGUUAAGUUCUUGUAACAUGUUGUUUGAUAGCUCUAAACAUUGCAACCUGAUGUUAUUUGUGCAAAGUCUGAAACUGAUAUUAUUUGCAAGCUUGCCAUGUCUUUUUGAGCAUGUUCUAGUGAUUUCUGGAGAUAGCUCAGUGUUACUGUUUUGUUAUACUUUACAUGUACAUCAUGUCCAUGCCUUUUGUUUUCAUAUUGUGGUACUGUAGCAUGUUGUUUUCAUGCUUGCAAUAUGCCUAGUUACUGUUUUGGACAGAUUGUUGCUAUAACUUGUAUAGUGUGUGUGUUGAACCGUUGCUCCGUUUUGAGUGUGCUCUAUAUGAAACUUGCUUGAUUUUGCAUGUAGCUUCAUAUUAUCAUGUUGCCUCCUUGUUUUGAGGUGUUUGCUUGAUGUUUGCAUGCAUCUUGCAUCAAUGCCAUGCUUAACUUGUUUUGCUCAUAUAUUCUAGGCCGUAGCUCCGAAUUAAAUGAACUUUAUAUGUAACUUGACUAGAAUCUCGUGUAGAUCAUCUUGGUGCAUCUUAACUUGCUGUUUAACAACUUGAACAUAAGGUUUAUUCAGAUCUGGACCAAUUUCGAAAUUUGCAUAUGAGGACUUACCGGAAUUGUUAUAUGUUGUUCCCGACCUCAUUUAAACUUGCCUUGAUGUGUUGCUCUUGUUUGCAUCAUCUCUUGCCAUGAGGCUUCAUGUAGUCUUGUCAUGCAUCAUGCUUGGUUGUGCAUCAUGUCUUGUUCAUGUGUGGUGUGUUUACCAUGUUGUGUGCUUCUUCUCGAUAGUUCCCGUUUCGUUGCGAUCGUGAGGAUUCAUUCGUCUAUGCUUGGUUCAGCUUCAUCCGUUCGUAUUCUUCAUGGACUCGUUCUUCUUCCUUGCGGGAUUUCAGGCAAGAUGACCGCUACCCUGGAUCUCACUACUAUCAUUGCUAUGCUAGUUGCUUCGUUCUAUCGCUAUGCUGCGCUACCUAUCAAUUGUUCUUCAAGCCUCCCAAAUUGCCAUGUCAGCCUCUAACCUUUUCAUCCUUCCUAGCAAACCAUUGCUUGGCUAUGUUACCGCUUUGCUCAGCCCCUCUUAUAGCGUUGCUAGUUGCAGGUGAAGUUGAAGAUUGCCCCAUGACGGACAGGAUUAUGUUGGGAUAUCACAAUAUCUCUUAUUUAAUUAAUGCGUCUAUAUACUUGGUAAAGGGUGGAAGACUCGGCCUUAUGCCUGGUGUUUUGUUCCACGCUUGCCGCCCUAGUUUCCGUCAUACCGGUGUUAUGUUCCCGGAUUUUGCGUUCCUUACGCGGUUGGGUGAUUUAUGGGUCCCCCUUGACAGUUCGCUUUGAAUAAAACUCCUCCAGCAAGGCCCAACCUUGGUUUUACCAUUUGCCUCACCUAGCCCUUUUUCCCUUGGGUUUCCGGAGCCCGAGGGUCAUCUUUAUUUUAUCCCCCCCGGGCCAGUGCUCAUCGUGAGUGUUGGUCCAACCUGUCAGCCGCCGGUGGUCACCAGGGGCAACUCUGGGCUGGCCUACCGAAAGUUUGGACAAUCCGGUGUGCCCUGAGAACGAGAUAUGUGCAGCUCCUAUCGGGAUUUGUCGGCACAGCGGGCGAUUUUGCUGGUCUUGUUUUACCAUUGUCGGAAUGUCUUGUAAACCGGGAUUCCGAGUCUGAUCGGGUCUUCCUGGGAGAAGGUAUAUCCUUCGUUGAUUGCGAGAGCUUAUUAUGGGCUAAGUUGGGACACCCCUGCAGGGUAUAAACUUUCGAAAGCCGUGCCCGCGGUUAUGUGGCAGAUGGGAAUUUGUUAAUGUCUGGUUGUAGAUAACUUGACACCUGAUUCGAAUUAAAACGCAUCAACCGCGUGUGUACCCGUGAUGGUCUCUUCUCAGCGGAGUCCGGGAAGUGAACACAGUUUUUGGGUUAUGUUUGACGUAAGUAGGAGUCCAGGAUCACUUCUUGAUCAUUACUAGUUGACGACCGUUCCGCUUGCUCUCUUCUCACUCUUAUUUGCGUAUGUUAGCCACCAGAUAUGCUUAGUCGCUGCUGCAACCUCACCACCGUACCCCUUCCUUUCCCUUUAAGCUUUGCUAGUCUUGAUACCCAUGGUAAUGGGAUUGCUGAGUCCUCGUGGCUCACAGAUUACUUCAACAACAGUUGCAGGUACAGGUUACGCGAUGAUCAUGACGUGAGAGCGAUGUUACUUGUUUUGGAGUUCUUCUUCUAUUUCUUCUUCGAUCAGGGGAUAGGUUCCAGGUCGGCAGCCUGGGCUAGAAGGGUGGAUGUCGUUUGAGUUUCUGUUUGUGUUUCAUCCGUAGUCAGAUGAUGCUCUUAUGUAUUGUGAUAUUGUAUUCGUGUGGCAUUGUAUGCCUCUUGUAUGUAUCCCCAUCUAUUAUGUAAUGUUGAUGUAAUGAUAUCCACCUUGCAAAAGCGUUUCAAUAUGCGGUUCUAUCCUUGGUGGGACCUUCGAGUCUCUUUAGGAUAGUAUCGCAUAUUGGGCGUGACAACACCUCACCAUUAUUUGGGCCUAGAGUAAGGCAUUAGGAAGUAAUAAGUAGAUGAUGGGUUGCUAGAGUGACAGAAACUUAAACCCUAGUUUAUGAGUUGCUUCGUAAGGGGCUGAUUUGGAUCCAUAUGUUUCAUGCUAUGGUUAGGUUUACCUUAAUACUUCUUUUGUAGUUGCAGAUGCUUGCAAUAGGGGUUAAUCAUAAGUGGGAUGCUUGUCCAAGAAAGGGCAGUACCCAAGCACCAGUCCACCCACAUAUCAAAUUAUCAAAGUAACGAACGUGAAUCAUAUGAGCGUGAUGAAAACUAGCUUGACGAUAAUUCCCUUGUGUCCUCGGGAGCGCUUUUCUCUAUAUAAGAAUUUGUCCAGGCUUGUCCUUUGCUACAAAAAGGAUUGGGCCACCUUGCUGCACCUUAUUUACUUUCAUUGCUUGUUACUCGUUACAAAUUACCUUAUCACAAAACUAUCUGUUACCGAUAAUUUCAGUGCUUGCAGAGAAUACCUUACUGAAAACCGCUUGUCAUUUCCUUCUGCUCCUUGUUGGGUUCGACACUCUUACUUAUCGAAAGGACUACGAUAGAUCCCCUACACUUGUCGGUCAUCAAGACUCUUUUCUGGUGCUGUUGUCGGGGAGUGAAGUGCCUUUGGUAAGUGGAACAUGGUAAGGAAACAUUUAUAUAGUGUGCUGAAAUUUACUGUCACUUGUUACUAUGGAACAUAAUCCUUUGUGGGGCUUGCUUGGGGUAUCUUCACCCCGACCAGCAGAGCAAAGACUUGCUCCUCAAUCUACUGAACCUACUGAAAAUGUUAACUUUGAAAUUCCUUCGGGUAUGGUAGAGAAACUGCUGGCUAAUCCCUUUACAGGAGAUGGAACAUUGCAUCCCGAUUUAGACCUAAUCUAUGUGGAUGAAGUUUGUGGAUUAUUUAAGCUUGCAGGUAUGCCCGAUGAUGUUAUCAAGAAGAAGGUCUUCCCUUCAUGUUUGAAGGGAGAUGCAUUGACAUGGUAUAGGCUAUGUGAUGAUAUGGGAUCAUGGGACUACAAAUGAUUGAAAUUAGAAUUUCACCAGCAGUUUUAUCCUAUGCAUCUUGCUCAUCGUGAUCGUAAUUAUAUAUAUAAUUUUUGGCCUCGAGAAGGAGAAAGCAUCGCUCAAGCUUGGGGGAGGCUUAAGUCAAUGUUAUAUUCAUGCCCCAAUCAUGAGCUCUCAAGAGAAAUAAUUAUUCAAAAAAAUUUAUGCUCGGCUUUCCCUCAACAAUUGCUCCAUGCUCGAUACUUCUUGUGCUGGGUCUUUUAUGAUGAAGACUAUUGAAUUUAAAUGGGAUUUAUUGCAAAGAAUUAAACGCAACUCUCUGAAGAUUGGGAUUCCGGCGAAGGUAAGGAGUCAGGUAUAACACCUAAGUUUGAUUGUGUUAAAUCUUUUAUGGAUACCGAUGCUUUUCGUGGAUUUAGCACUAAAUGUGGACUUGACUCUGAGAUAGUAGCUUCUUUCUAUGAAUCAUUUGCUACUCAUGUUGACCUCCCUAAGGAGAAGUGGUUUAAAUAUAAUCCUCCUACUAAAGUAAAAGUAGUUGCACCUAUUACAGUUGAAGAAAAGACUAUCACUUAUAAUGAUCCUAUUGUUCCUUCCACUUAUAUUGAGAAACCACUUUUCCCUGUUAGGAUAAAGGAUCAUGCUAAAGCUUCAACUAUGGUUCGUAAGAGUAAUACUAAAACACCUACACCACCUGAGCAAAUUAAAGUUGAACCUAGUAUUGCUAUGGUUAAAUAUCUCUUGGCUAAUAAUAUUGAUGGGCAUGUUUAUUUACUUCUGUGAUGAAGCCGCUAGAAUUGCUAGACCAGAUAAUAAACAUAAACAUAGACCUGUUGUAGGCAUGCCUGUUAUUUCUGUUAAGAUAGGAGAUCAUUGUUAUCAUGGCUUAUGUGAUAUGGGUGCUAGUGCUAGUGCAAUACCUCAUUCCUUAUACAAUGAAAUUAUGCAUGAUAUUUCACCUGCUGAGAUAGAAGAAAUAGAUGUUACAAUUAAGCUUGCCAAUAGAGAUACUAUUUCACCAAUUGGGAUUGUUAGAGAUGUUGAAGUCUUGUGUGGGAAAGUUAAAUAUCCUGCUGAUUUUCUUGUUUUUGGUUCCCCACAAGAUGACUUUUGUCCCAUUAUAUUUUGUAGACCCUUCUUGAAUAAUGUUAAUGCUAAGAUAGAUUGCGAAAAGGAUGUUGUUACUAUUAGUUUGGGAGAUAUAUCUCAUGAGUUUAACUUUGCUAAAUUUCGUAGACAACCCCUUGAUAAAGAAUUGCCUAGUAAAGAUGAAAAUAUUGGUCUUGCUUCUAUUGCCGCUCCUCCUAAUGAUCCUUUAGAACAAUAUUUGCUAGACCAUGAAAAUGAUAUGUUCAUGAAUGAAACAAGGGAUGUAGAUGAAGUAUUCUUUAAACAGGGACCUAUUUUGAAACACAACUUGCCUGUUGAAAUCCUAGGGGAUCCUCCACCACCUAAGGGUGAUCCCGUGUUUGAGCUUAAACCAUUACCUGAUACUCUUAAAUAUGCUAUCUUGAUGAAAAGAAGAUAUAUCAUGUUAUUAUUAGUGCUAACCUUUCAUAGCAGGAAGACGAAAGAUUAUUGAAAACUCUGAAGAAGCACCAUGCUGCUAUUGGAUAUACUCUUGAUGAUCUUAAGGGCAUUAGUCCCACUCUAUGCCACACAAAAUAAAAUUGGAGGAAGAUGCCAAACCAGUUAUUGAUCAUCAACGACGGUUAAAUCCUAAGAUGAAAGAAGUGGUAAGAAAGGAAAUACUAAAGCUCCUUGAGGCAGGUAUAAUUUAUCCCGUUGCUGAUAGUCAGUGGGUAAGUCAUGUCCAUUGUGUCCCUAAGAAGGGAGGUAUUACUGUCGUUCCUAAUGAUAAAGAUGAAUUGAUCCCGCAAAGAAUUAUUACAGGUUAUAGGAUGGUAAUUGAUUUCCACAAAUUAAAUAAAGCUACUAAAAAAGAUCAUUACCCUUUACCUUUUAUUGAUCAAAUGCUAGAAAGAUUAUCCAAACAUACACAUUUUUGCUUUCUAGAUGGUUACUCUAGUUUCUCUCAAAUACCUGUGUCAGCAGAGGAUCAAGAAAAGACCACUUUUACUUGCCCUUUCGGUACUUUUGCUUAUAGACGUAUGCCUUUUGGUUUAUGUGAUGCACCUGCUACCUUUCAAAGAUGCAUGAUGGCUAUAUUCUCUGACUUCUGUGAAAAGAUUUGUGAGGUUUUCAUGGAUGAUUUCUCCGUGUAUGGGUCUUAUUUUGAUGAUUGCUUGAGAAACCUUGAUCGAGUUUUGCAGAGAUGUGAAGAUACUAGUCUCGUCUUGAAUUGGGAGAAGUGCCACUUUAUGGUUAAUGAAGGUAUUGUCUUGGGGCAUAAAAUUUAUGAAAGAGGUAUUGAAGUUAAUAAAGGUAAGGCUGAUGCUAUUGAAAAAUGACAUGUCCCAAGGACAUUAAAGGUAUAAGAAGUUUCCUUGGUCAUGCCGGUUUUUAUAGGAGGUUCAUUAAGGACUUUUCUAAAAUCUUUAGGCCUCUGACUAAUCUAUUACAAAAAGAUAUUCCUUUUGUCUUCGAUGAUGAUUGUGUAGAAGCAUUUGAAAUACUUAAGAAAGCUUUGAUUUCUGCACCUAUCAUUCAGCCACCUGAUUGGAAUUUACCCUUUGAAAUUAUGUGUGAUGCUAGUGAUUAUGUUGUAGGUGUUGUUCUACGACAAAGAGUUGAUAAGAAACUAAAUGUUAUUCAACAUGCUAGUAAAACUCUAGACAGUGCUCAGAGAAAUUAUGCUACUACUGAAAAAGAAUUUUUAGCAGUUGUAUUUGCUUGUGAUAAGUUCUUUCACGCCCAAGAUGCGACCCUAUCCUAAAGGAACUCGAAGGUCCCACCAAGGAUAGAAGCGCAUCUUGAAGACGCUUUUGCAAGGUGGAUAUCAUUACAUUAACAUUACAUAAUAGAUGGGGAUACAUACAAAAGGCAUACAAUGCCACAUGAAUACAACAUCAUCUUACAUAAGAGCACCAUCCGAAUACGGAUGAAACACAAACAGAAACUCAAACGACAUCCACCCUGCUAGCCCAAGCUGCCAACCUGGAACCUAUCCUCUGAUCGAAGAAGCAGAAGAAGAACUCCAAAACAAGUAAACAUCGCUCUCGCGUCAUGAUCAUCGCAUAACCUGUACCUGCAACUAUUGUUGUAGUAAUCUAUGAGCCACGAGGACUCAGCAAUCCCAUUACCAUGGGUAUCAAGACUAGUGAAGCUUAAAGGGAAAGGAAGGGGUAAAGUGGUGAGGUUGCAGCAGCGACUAAGCAUAUAUGGUGGCUAACAUACGCAAAUAAGAGCGAGAAGAGAGCAAGCGGAACGGUCGUGAAGCUAGCAAUGAUCAAGAAGUGAUCCUGAACUCCUACUUAUGUCAAACAUAACCCAAAACCGUGUUCACUUCCCGGACUCCGCCGAAAAGAGACCAUCACGGCUACACACACGGCUGAUGCGUUUUAAUUCGAAUCUUGUGUCAAGUUAUCUACAACUGGACAUUAACAAAUUCCCAUCUACCGCAUAACCACGGGCACGGCUUUCGAAAGUUUAUACCCUGUAGGGGUGUCCCAACUUAGCCCAUGAUAAGCUCUCGCGAUCAACGAAGGAUAUACCUUCUCCCAGGAAGACCCGAUCAGACUCGGAAUCCCGGUUUACAAGACAUUUCGACAAUGGUAAAACAAGACCAGCAAGACCACCCGAUGCGCCGACAAAUCCCGAUAGGAGAUGCACAUAUCUUGUUCUCAGGGCACACCGGAUGAGCAAGACGAUGGGUUGGCAUAGACCCUGGUUGCCCAGGGGGCGCCGGACAUCGCUCGGUUUGGACCAACACUUAGACAAGCAUUGGCCCGGGGGGGGGGGCUAAAAUAAAGAUGACCCUCGGGUUAAUUACUCCCAAGGGAAAUGUAGGUGAUGGUGAGGCAAAUGGUAAAACCAAGGUUGGGCCUUGCUGGAGGAGUUUUAUUCAAAGCGAACUGUCAAGGGGGUCCCAUAAAUCACCCAACCGCGUAAGGAACGCAAAAUCCAGGAACAUAACACCGGUAAGAGUGGAACAAAACACCAGGCAUAAGGCCGAGCCUUCCACCCUUUACCAAGUAUAUAGAUGCAUUAAUUAAAUAAGAGAUAUUGUGAUAUCCCAACAUAAUCCUAUCCACCAUGGAGCAAUCUUCAACUUCACCUGCAACUAACAAUGCUAUAAGAGGGGCUGAGCAAAAGCGGUAACAUAGCCAAGCAAAGGUUUGCUAGGAAGGGUGUCAAAGGUUAGAGGUUCAUGGCAAUUUGGGAGGCUUGAUGAGCAAAAGAUAGGUAGCGCAACAAAGCGAUAGAACGAAGCAACUAGCAUAGCAAUGAUAGUAGUGAGAUCCAGGGUAGCGGUCAUCUUGCCUGAAAUCCCGCAAGGAAGAAGAACGAGUCCAUGAAGAAGACGAACGGAUGAAGACGAUCCAAGCGUAGACGAACGAAUCCUCACGAUCGCAACGAAAUAGGAACUAACAAGAAGAAGCACACAACAUGGUAAACACACCACACAUAGACAAGACAUGAUGCACAACAAGCAUGAUGCAAGACAAGACUACAUGAAGCUACUCAUGGCAAUAGAUGAUGCAAACAAGAACAACACAUCAAGGCAAGUUUAAAUGAGGCCGGGAACAACAUAUAACAAUUCCGGUAAGUCCUCAUAUGCAAGUUUCGAAAUUGGUCCAGAUCUGAAUAAACAUUAUGUUCAAGUUGUUAAACAGCAAGUUAAGUUGCACCAAGAUGAUCUACACGAGAUUCUAGUCAAGUUACAUAUAAAGUUCAUUUAGUUCAGAGCUACGGUGUAGAAGAUAUGAGCAAAACAAGUUAAACAUGGCAUUGAUGCAAAAUGCAUACAGACAUCAAGCAAACACCUCAAAACAUGGAUGCAACAUGAUAAUAUGAAACUACAUGCAAUUCUAAGCAAGUUUCAUAUAGAGCACACUCAAAACGGAGCAACAGUUCAACACACAUGACACAAGUUAUAGCAACAACCUGUCCAAAACAGCAACUAGGCAUAUUGCAAGCAUUAAAACAACAUGCUACAGCACCCCAACAUGAGAACAAAAGGCAUGGACGUGAUGUACAGGUAAAGAAUUACAAAACAUGAACACUGAGCUAUCUCCAGAAAACACUAGAACAUGCUCCAAAACACAUGGCAAGAUUGCAUAUAAUAACAGUUUCAGACUUUGCAGAAAUAACAUCAGGUUGCAAUGUUUAGAGCUAUCAAACAACAUGUUACAGGAACUUAUCAUGGUAAACAAAGGCACGACAUGAAUCUAGUAAUUGCAUAGAACAAAAGUCCUUUACUGACCAUGAGCCAAAAAGGAUCAGAAGAUAUGAUGGCACCCAAGUAAACAUGGCAAGUUAUAUGACAGAUUCAUACAUGGCAGGAACAACGAUGCGUAGGCAUAUUGGUGAGCUUGUACCACUCACCACAGAGCACUACAUGGCAUGACAAGGCAACCAACAGUAUUAUGAAGCUAAGCAUGGCAAGAGCAAGUUCAUAGCAUGCUUGGAUCACUAACAACAAUCAUGGCAACAUUGAACUUAAUGUUAACAGGCUGACAGCAACAUUAUUUAGCAACUUUGGAGCAAGAAUACAAAAAGUUACAGCAAGCUAUAAAUGGAACCAGCGGCAUGAUGGAUAGAGCAUGACAUGUAUAACAAAACAUCCUUAGUGAACAUCUCCAGAUUAUGCAUGGAAUGACUUGUAGAAGCAUGUUUACAUAGCAUCACCAAAUAACAGAUUCAGCCUAGCAAAACAGUAACAGCAAGUACACUACUUCAAGAGCUCGAUUCACUCACCACAAGUCAUUGCAUGACAAGAUAAGCAUAUAAUCAGCAAGAAUACAUGUUUAUGAAACUAACCAAGGCAAGAACAAGUUCAUAGCAUGCAAGGAUCAACUACAACAACCUUGGCAAAAUUGAAUAACAUGUAAACAAUCUGCCAGGAAACAUUUUAUAGCAAAAGUAGAGCAAGAAAAUGACAUGCUAGACUACUCCAUAAUUGCAAACAGGGGCAUGAACGGAUAGAUAAUAACCAUAUGUUCAAAACAUCCUUACUGAAGUAUCUCAAAAUAUGCUUGGAUCUCUCUGUAGCAUCAAGUUUACAUGGCAUAAAAAUAACAGCAGAACAGGGACUGAAAUCAGCAACAUCACGAAGCUAGUUUGCAUGCCUGUUCUAGUCACCACAUUGAUCACAAAAAUGCAUGGCGUACACCACUGUAAAGAUGGAAUGAUGUAUCACAAAACACAUGUAGAGCUCAUGCUCAUAGGAUGCACACAUCAAAUGCAACAAAAAUAACAAAUCAUCAAGUUAUAACAGUUUCAGCAGAUUAACAUCAUAUUGCACUCUUGCAAUGAAGAUUCAGGCAUCAAGGUGAACUCAAAUGAACAUGGAGAAAUGGAAUGAAAUGAAGAGCAUCUCUAAACGAACAUUUUGACAUAUUACACGCACAAAACAGAGCUACAUGCACAGAGUUAUGAUGCGUUGAACAGGGGACCAAAAUGCAAAUAUUUUCGGGACUUAGACGAAAAUCACCUCCGGAUCUGAGGGUUGACCCGGGCGCGGAUGACGAGGACGGUCGGGGUUCUCGCCGGAGUUGGGGGGAAAGGCGCCGACGGCCGGAGAAGUCGCGGACGGGGCCGGGGAGGCCGGAUCCGGCGGCGGCGGGGUCGAGGGUCGCCGGAGGAGGCGGCACCGGCGGGCACCGGCGNNNNNNNNNNNNNNNNNNNNNNNNNNNNNNNNNNNNNNNNNNNNNNNNNNNNNNNNNNNNNNNNNNNNNNNNNNNNNNNNNNNNNNNNNNNNNNNNNNNNNNNNNNNNNNNNNNNNNNNNNNNNNNNNNNNNNNNNNNNNNNNNNNNNNNNNNNNNNNNNNNNNNNNNNNNNNNNNNNNNNNNNNNNNNNNNNNNNNNNNNNNNNNNNNNNNNNNNNNNNNNNNNNNNNNNNNNNNNNNNNNNNNNNNNNNNNNNNNNNNNNNNNNNNNNNNNNNNNNNNNNNNNNNNNNNNNNNNNNNNNNNNNNNNNNNNNNNNNNNNNNNNNNNNNNNNNNNNNNNNNNNNNNNNNNNNNNNNNNNNNNNNNNNNNNNNNNNNNNNNNNNNNNNNNNNNNNNNNNNNNNNNNNNNNNNNNNNNNNNNNNNNNNNNNNNNNNNNNNNNNNNNNNNNNNNNNNNNNNNNNNNNNNNNNNNNNNNGAAGGCGCGGGCCGGGCGGCGGCGGUGCGCGCGGGCCGGGAGGCAGGGGAGACGUGUGGCAGUGCCGGAUUGGCCGAGGAGGCGGCGCGGACGUGUCCGGCAGCGGGGUGGACGCGUCCGGCGGUGGGAGGAGCAGGGCUAGGGUUAGGGGAAGAAUUCAUCCGCGAAUUUCGGGGGAGGGCACAUAUUUAUAGAUUGUGGGAGCUAGGAGAGUCCAAAUAAGGUGAGGUUUUCGCCCACAUGAUCGUGAUCGAACGAUCGAGAGCAUGGAGGGGAGUUAGAUGGGUUUUGGGACACUUUGGAGGGGUGUUGGGCUGCAAAGAGAAGGGGGUUUUGGGCUAUGCGGUUAACCGUUGGAGUAUCAAACGACCUCCAAAUGGCACGAAACUUGACAGGCGGUCUACCAGUGCUAUACCAAGGCCGCUUGGCAAGACUCGGUCCAUUCUGAGAACGUUUAACACCCGCUCACGAAGAGAGGCAAGAAGGGGACGCCGGAUGACAUAGGAGUGUUGGAUCGCAAAACGGACAACGGGGAAAAUGCUCGGAUGCAUGAGACGAACACAUAUGCAAAAUGAGAUGCACAUGAUGACAUGAUAAAAUGCAACACGCAAGCACAUGACAUGGCAACGAUGGCAAAUAACUGGCAGACACCUGGCGCAUCGGAUCCGGGGCGUUACAAGUUCAGACCUUAUAUUAUUGAUUCUAAAGUAACUGUUCACACUGACCAUGCUGCUAUUAAAUAUCUUAUGGAAAAAAAGAUGCUAAACCUAGACUUAUUAGAUGGGUUCUCCUACUACAAGAAUUUGAUUUGCAUAUUAUCGAGAGAAAGGGAGCUGAGAACCCCGUUGCAGACAACCUGUCUAGGUUAGAGAAUGUUCUUGAUGACCCACUACCUAUUAAUGAUAGCUUUCCUGAUGAGAAAUUAGCUGUCAUAAAUGCUUCUCGUACUGCUCCUUGGUAUGCUGAUUAUGCUAAUUACAUCGUUGCUAAAUUUAUACCACCUAGUUUCACAUACCAGCAAAAGAAAAAGUGUUUCUAUGAUUUAAGACAUUACUUCUGGGAUGACCCACACCUUUAUAAAGAAGGAGUAGACAAUGUUAUUAGACGUUGUGUACCUGAGCAUGAAUAGGAACAGAUUCUACGCAAGUGUCACUCCGAGGCAUAUGGAGGACACCACGCUGGAGAUAGAACUGCACAUAAGGUAUUGCAAUCCGGUUUUUAUUAGCCUACUCUCUUCAAAGAUGCCUGUAAGUUUGUCUUGUCUUGUGAUGAAUGUCAAAGAAUUGGUAAUAUCAGUAGACGUCAAGAAAUGCCUAUGAAUUAUUCUCUUGUUAUUGAACCAUUUGAUGUUUGGGGCUUUGAUUAUAUGGGACUGUUUCCUGCCUCUAAUGGGCAUACACAUAUUUUAGUUGCUGUUGAUUAUGUUACUAAGUGGGUAGAAACUAUUCCAACUAGUACUGUUGAUCAUAACACCUCUAUUAAGAUGCUUAAAGAAGUUAUUUUUCCGAGGUUUGGAGUCCCUAGAUACUUAAUGAUUGAUGGUGGUUCACAUUUUAUUCAUGGUGCUUUUUGAAAAAUGCUUGCUAAGUAUGAUGUUAAUCAUAGAAUUGCAUCUCCAUAUCACCCGCAGUCUAGUGGUCAGGUAGAAUUGAGUAAUAAAGAGCUCAAGUUAAUUUUGCAAAAGACUGUUAAUAGAUCUAGAAAGAAUUGGUCUAAGAAACUUGAUGAUGCAUUAUGGGCUUAUAGAACUGCAUAUAAGAAUCCUAUGGGUAUGUCUCCAUGUAAAAUGGUUUAUGGAAAAGCAUGUCACUUACCUCUCGAACUAGAACAUCAGGCAUAUUGGGCCAUUAAAGAGCUCAAUUAUGAUUUCAAACUUGUCGAUGAGAAGAGGUUAUUUGACAUAAGUUCACUUGAUGAAUGGAGAACCCAAGCGUAUGAGAAUGCCAAAGUAUUUAAAGAAAAAUUAAAAGAUGGCAUGACAAAAGGAUACAAAAGCGUGAGUUUAAUGUAGGUGAUUAUGUGUUGCUUUUCAACUCUCGUUUAAGAUUUUUCGUAGGAAAGCUCCUCUCUAAAUGGGAAGGCCCUUAUGUUAUCGAGGAGGUUUAUCGUUUCGGUGCCAUAAAAAUCAACAACUUCGAAGGCACAAAUCUAAAGGUGGUGAACGGUCAAAGAAUCAAACAUUAUAUCUCAGGUAAUCCUAUAAUUGUUUAAACCAAUGUUACUGAAAUCGUAUCCCCGAAGGAAUACAUAAGGGACACUUUCCAGAACGUUUCAGACUCCGAAAAGGAAUAGGUAUGUGGUACGGUAAGUAAACCGACUCCAAAACAGUUCUAAUAGCAAUUUUUCUCUGCUUUGGAAUAUUUAAGAAAAUAGGGAAAUAAGAAGUAGUCCGAAAGGGACACGAGGCGUCCACGAGGGUGGAAGGCACGCCCUACCCCCGUGGGCACGCCCCCCUGCCUCAUGGGCACCUUGUGUGCUCUCCAGACUCUGUUUUCUUGCAUGAUACUUCUUUUGGUCGGUAAAGAUUCAUUAUAUAAUCUCCCGAGGGUUUUGGCCACCCUAUCACGCAAAAAUCCUCUGUUUUUGUCUUGAGUUGCUUCUGCUGCAGAAUAGAGCAAUAUGUCAUCCCAGGAUUCGGAGGGAGAAAGCUAUGUGGCUGAUUACCUUGCAGAGCCUAAGGCCUACGGGGACUUGGAGCAUUAUGGCUGGACCAUUGAGGAAGAAGAAGACUACGAGCCUAAGGGAAAGGAGGAGACGAGCUCAGAUGAAUAUGAAGUCCCAUUACCUCAACCUGGUGACAUGCAUGUGGAGUUUAAAAAGUCAAGCCUCCCCGAUAGAGCAAAGAAACCAAAGAUCGAGUCUAUCCCUUUUCGUCUCUUGCAGGAAAACAAACAGGAACUAUGCAAAAGGAUAUUAAGCCUUGAGCAAUAGAUCGAUGAUCUAAGGGAGCAAAAUUCCAUCCUCAAGCGCAAAUUGAGGAAGAAGCAUACAUCAUCAACAACUCCAUCAUCACCACUUCCGAAGAGGGAGACCUAAACACAUGGGUAUGGGCACUCCCCUUGGCAAAUGCCAAGCUUGGGGGAGGUGCCCUGGUAUCGUAUCACCAUCACACUCCUAUCUUUACAGUUUUUCUUAGUUCGAUCCUUUUGGUAAUAUCUUGAUCUAGUAGAAUAAAGUUUUGGUAUGAUUUAGUUUUGAGUUUUGCUUUAUGAUCCCUCUACGUAAUCGAGUCCGUGAGCUAUAUAUAAUAAAGAUUAGUGUUGAGUCAAGGGCUUUGCUAUCUUGCUAUGAUCUUGAGGAAAUAAAAGAAUAAAAAGAAAUAAAGAGAUCAUAUUGAUCUUAUGGAGAGUAAUGACUUCACACAUAAAGAGUAUGAUGCAUAAAAGUUGUGGAGAGUUGGCAAACAUAGUUUUGGUCAUCGUUGCAAUUAAUAGGAAGUAAUAAAGAAAGAGAGGUUCUCACAUAUAAAUAUACUAUCUUGGACAUCUUUUAUGAUUGUGAGCACUCAUUAAAGUAUGACAUGCUAAAGAGUUGAUGUUGGACAAGGAAGACAACGUAAUGGGUUAUGUUUUCUCAUAUCUGAAUUAAAGUAUAUUGUCAUGGAUCGUCCAACAUGUUGAGCUUGCCUUUCCCCCUCAUGCUAGACAAAUUUCUUGCACCAAGUAGAGAUACUACUUGUGCUUCUAAAUAUCCUUAAACAUAGUUUUGCCAUGAGAAUCCACCAUAUCUACCUAUGGAUUGAGUAAGAUCCUUCAAGUAAGUUGUCAUGUUGCAUGCAACAAAAAUUGCUCUCUAAAUAUGUAUGACUUAUUAGUGUGGAGAAAAUAAGCUUUAUACAAUCUUGUGAUAUGGAAGCAAUAAAAGCGACGGACUGCAUAAUAAAGGUUCAUAUCACAAGUGGCAAUAUAAAGUGACAUUCCUUUGCAUUAAGAUUUCGUGCAUCCAACCAUAAAAGCACAUGACAACCUCUGCUUCCCUCUACGAAGGGCCUAUCUUUUACUUCUGUCUUUUACAUUAUGCAAGAGUCAUGGUGAUCUUCAUCUUUCCUUUUUAUUUUAUCCCUUGGCAAGCACAUCGUGUUGGAAAGAUCAUGAUAUAUAUAUAUAUAUAUAUAUAUAUAUCCAAUUGGAUGUAAGUUAGCACGAACUAUUAUGAUAACACCCCUAAGAGACUUAUUCUGCACAUCGGUUUCUUAUCCUGCACACACACCCGAAACACACAAACUAGACCCACCACUCCUCCCAUGACCCCUCGACCCACCAAUCUUCAAACUCCACCCCCGACUAGAGCCGGCGCCCCAUCCCACCACGACCUUCCCCGCCGCCCACCACCACCACCUUCCCCCAGCCCCGCACACCACCACCACCUUCCCCGCCNNNNNNNNNNNNNNNNNNNNNNNNNNNNNNNNNNNNNNNNNNNNNNNNNNNNNNNNNNNNNNNNNNNNNNNNNNNNNNNNNNNNNNNNNNNNNNNNNNNNNNNNNNNNNNNNNNNNNNNNNNNNNNNNNNNNNNNNNNNNNNNNNNNNNNNNNNNNNNNNNNNNNNNNNNNNNNNNNNNNNNNNNNNNNNNNNNNNNNNNNNNNNNNNNNNNNNNNNNNNNNNNNNNNNNNNNNNNNNNNNNNNNNNNNNNNNNNNNNNNNNNNNNNNNNNNNNNNNNNNNNNNNNNNNNNNNNNNNNNNNNNNNNNNNNNNNNNNNNNCCUCCUUUGCGCGGGAUCCUCGGGCCUCCACCCACCCCCGACCCUCCUGCGCGUCGGUGGAUCCGCCAUCUUUGACCACGGGCCGACCUCCUCUAUAGACCGGCCACCAAGCCAUCGGGCUCGCGCCGCCCUCCUGGUCGGCCGUCUUCCAGAGGCUCGAUGACACGCCGCCGAACCGGCCACUGCCUCUGGCUAGGAUAAGGUCGUCGUGAUCUUGUCCCUCCUCCCCCUCAAUUUCCGCAUGAUCCAUCGUGCAGGAACCACCCCCGCCGCCUUCUUCGCACCUCCGCGCCCGCCCAUCCCUGGAGGCCGCGCUACCGCGCCGGUGAACACCACCUCCCAGCGACCAAUUUAUCCCCUCUCAAAAAGGUGGUCAAAUCCAUGGAGGCGAGGUCGCCAUUCCCCUUCGCAGUCCACGUCGUGUACCCGAGCGGUUCAAUUCAUGGGUGCAUGCAGCCCGCUGCUGCAGUUUUUGUGCGAUGCAGUUGGAUUGCAUGCAGCACACCUUCGGCGUGCAGUUCGCCUGCGCCAGGGCAUGCAGCUCUGGCCACGGGCAUAUGCAGUACGCGACGACUAGCAUGUAUACUUGGUUUAGGGAGCAAAACAUCAGCGUUGUUCGGUGUUUUUUGCUGUAGUUUGCUACUCUCAUUUGUAUCACUUUACACCUUUUUAAUGGGAAUCUUCGGUAGUAUUCUAACUCUGUUCUUGCUAUCCAGUUUACCUGUUUUUGCAGGAGAUGGGGGUACAAGGAGAGAGAGACAUGAGUCUUGAACAUAUAAUGUGUGAGCAAUUCGGUUCGCCGGUGAUUUGCAGUAUUUUGAAUGGUAUCGCUCUAGUUCACAUUGCCCCAUGGUCUACUCCGGUGGCCUGCUUUGGCCGCCAUCACCGUGUUGCAGUUUUGCUACGACAUGUGAUUCAACAGCGCCACUAUGGUCACGUGGCAAGGAUGACUACACACUAAGAGGAGGUGGUGUUUGCGAACAAUUAGAGGCCCAAUUCAUUUUUGAAAAAUUUGUUUGAGACUUGUUAUGUAAACUACAGAAGCUUGUUUGUAAAAUAGUUACCCUAAUGCAGUUCGUUGUAAAUCCUGAAGUGGCUCAUUUUGUAGGCAAGUAAGAGAAAAUAUUCACGCAGAGGUUCACUUCUUUUUCACAUGUGAUUUUCUUCAUAUAUGGACUCAAAACACAAAUAGGUAAAGACCUCGUAACUCAUUAACAUCACCUGCAGUGCGUUUAGUGCUCGGAUGUGGUUUACUUUUGAGAGUGAUGUUGUUCACUUGAGCUCAACAUGAAAUUGCGAAAAAAUAGCGAUAAAACAAGAUAGUAAUGUGGUUCACUUGAUAUAUGUUGCAGUUCACUUUUCUUCGUCUAUGCGGUACACUCUCGUUCAUAAAAAAAGAAAAAAAGAAAAAACAACAAAAACUCGUCUACAAAAAUUUACAUCCGACAAAAAAAAUCAUGAAGCUCGCUUGCCCGUUUGAUGCAGUACAAUUUUCAGUCUCAAGCAGUGCGGUUUUCUGUUUGAUGCAGUAUGCCCGUCGAUUUUGGUGUCACGAAAAACAGAGUGUCCGCAUUUCGGUAAAUUCAAAAUUCCUCUUAAACUGUAAGGAAUGAGAGAGAUUGUUCUACAUGAAAAAGUUGUGCCUCAUAGAUAUCUUUCCAACGACAUAUCGCUUGAAUCAUUCCGACCGGCGGUUUGUAAAAAUUCGUGAAAAACGGCCGCUGCCACUUAUCGCCCGCCACACGAUUUUCAAAAUUAACUUAAAACCGUAAGAAAUCUCAAAAACAUUUCAACAUAUGAAAGUUGCGCCUCGUCCAUAGAUUUUCAACGGUAUAUUACACGUAUCGUUUCGACAAACGGUUAAAAAACUGGAGCGAAAACAGUACCUAAAAUUUGAUUUUUUUUUAAACAUAAUUCCGCUAUUUAGUAAAUUUGAAACUGCUCUUAAACCGUAAUGAAUUAGAGAAAAUGAUAGAUAUGAAAAAGAUGCGUCUCGACGAUAUCUUUCCAAUGGUGUAUCAUUUGCUUCAUUUCGCCAAGCGGUUUAGAAGAAAUCGCGAAAAAACGCUCGCUGCCACUCGUCAUGGGCCGCAUCAUUUUCAGAACUUUUCUUAAACCGUGUCGAAUCUCGAAAAGUCUUUAACAUGUCGAAGUUGUGCCUAAUCCAUAGCUUUUCAACGGUAUAUUACACGCCUCAUUCCGAUAAACAGUUAAAAAACUAGAGCGAAAACAGUACCGAAAAAACAACGCUUGCAGUUUUUUCCGACGAGAAGUUCACUCGGGUGAGUACUGCAGCACACUUGGUUGAAAGAAUGACGUUCUUGCUACGUCUUGAGCUUGCGUUGGUUUUCCUUGAAGAGGAAAGGGUGAUGCAGCACAGUAGCAUAACUAUUUCCCUCAGUUUUUGAGAACCAAGGUAUCAAUCCAGUAGGAGGCUCCUCACAAGUCCCACGAACCUACACAAACAAACAAAGAACUCGCAACCAACGCGAUAAAGUGGUUGUCAAUCCCUUCACAGCCACUUACGAAAGUGAGAUCUGAUAGAGAUAAUAUGAUAAGAUAAAUAUAUUUUUGGUAUUUUAUAAUAUAGAUGCAGAAAAUAAAGAUGCAAAUAAAAGUAGAUUGGAAACUUAUAUGAUAAAAGAUAGACCCGAGGGGCAUAGGUUUCACUAGAGGCUUCUCUCAAGAUAGCAUAAGUAUUACGGUGGGUGAACAAAUUACUGUCGAGCAAUUGAUAGAAAAGCGAAUAAUUAUGAUGUUAUCUAGGCAUGAUCAUGUAUAUAGGCAUCACGCCCGCAACAAGUAGACCGACUCCUGCCUGCAUCUACUACUAUUACUCCACACAUCAACCGCUAUCCAGCAUGCAUCUAGAGUAUUAAGUUCAUAAGAAUAGAGUAACACAUUAAGAAAGAUGUCAUAAUGUAGAGGGAUAAACUCAAGCAAUAUUAUAUAAACCCCAUCUUUUUAUCCUCGAUGGCAACAAUACAAUACGUGUCUUGCAACCCUUUCUGUCACUGGGUAAGAACACCGCAAGAUUGAACCCAAAGCUAAGCACUUCUCCCAUGGCAAGAAAGAUCAAUCUAGUAGGCCAAACCAAACUAAUAAUUUGAAGAGACUUGCAAAGAUAACUCAAUCAUACAUAAAAGAAUUCAGAGAAGAUUCAAAUAUUAUUCAUAGAUAAACUUGAUCAUAAACCCACAAUUCAUCGGAUCUCGACAAACAUAUCACAAAAAGAGAUUACAUCAAAUAGAUCUCCACAAGAGAGGGGGAGAUCAUUGUAUUGAGAUCCAAAAAGAGAGAAGAAGUCAACUAGCUAAUAACCAUGGACCCGAAGGUCCGUGGUAAACUACUCACAACUCAUUGGAGGGGCUAUGGUGUUGAUGUAGAAGCCCUCCGUGGUGGAUUACCCCUCCGGCAGAACGUCGACAACGGCUCCAAGAUGGGAUCUCGCGGAUACAGAAGGUUACGGUGGUGGAAAUAUUUCUUUGGUGGCUCCCUGGAUGUUUUGGGGGUAUGUAGGCUUAUAUAGGAGGAAGAAGUACGUCGGUGGCCGCCCGAGGGUCCCACGAGACAGGGCGGCGUGCCCUGUAGGGGUGGGCGCGCCCCCACCCUCGUGGAUGCCUUCGCUGCUUCUUGACUUGCACUUCAAGUCCUCUGGAUCAUGUUCGUUCCAAAAAUCACGCUCCCGAAGGUUUCAUUCCGUUUGGACUCCGUUUGAUAUUCCUUUUCUUCGAAAUACUGAAAUAAGCAAAAAAACAGCAAUACGGGCUGGGCCUCCGGUUAGUAGGUUAGUCCCAAAAAUGAUAUAAUUGUGUAAAAUAAAGCUCAUAGACAUCCAAAACAGGUAAUAUAAUAGCAUGGAACAAUCAAAAAUUAUAGAUACGUUGAAGACCUAUCAAGCAUCCCCAAGCUUAAUUCCUGCUCGUCCUCGAGUAGGUAAAUGAUAAUAACAGAUUUUUUGAUGUGGAAUGCUACCUAGCAUAAUUUCUCAAUGUAAUUUCUCUUUAUUGUGGCAUGAAUGUUCAGAUCCAAGUGAUUCAAAAUAAAAGUUCAUAUUGAAGAAAGAAAUAGCAAUACUUCAAGCAUACUAAUAAAAGCAAUCAUGUCUUCUCAAAAUAACAUGGCUAAAGAAAGUUCAUCCCUACAAAAUCAUAUAGUUAGGCUAUGCUUCAUUUUCUUCACACAAAGAUGUUCCCAACUUCUAUACCCCCGAUGACAAGCCAAGCAAUUGUUUCGUACUUAAAUAAUCUUAAACUUUUUCAACCUUCACACAAUACAUGAGCGUGAGCCAUGGAUAUAGCACUAUGGGUGGAAUAGAAUAAUGAUUGGGGAUUGUGUGGAGAAGACAAAAAAAGGAGAAAGUCUCACAAUGAUGAGGAUAAUCAACGGGCUAUGGGAAUGCCCAUCAACUGAUGUCAACAUGAGGAGUAGGGAUUGCCAUGCAACGGAUGCACUAGAGCUAUUAAUGAAUGAAAGCUCAACAAAAGAAAACUAGUGGGUGUGCAUCCAACUUGCUUGCUCACGAAGACCUAGGGAAUUUGAGGAAGCCCAUCGUAGGAAUAUACAAGCCAAGUUCUAUAAUGAAAAAUUCCCACUAGUAUAUGAAAGUGACAACCUAUGAGACUCUCUACAUGAAAACAUGGUGCUACUUUGAAGCACAAUAUAUGAGACUCAUUACAUGAAGAACAAGGUGCUACUUUGAAGCACAAGUGUGGAAAAAAAAGAGAUAGUAGCAUUGCCCCUUUAUUUAUUUUCUUCUUUUUUCUUUUUCUUUUUUUUCUUCUUUCUUUCUUUUUCUUUUUUUCUUUUUCUUCUUUCUUUUGGCCUUUUUUUGGCCUUUCUUUUUUUCUUUUUGGGCAAUGCUCUAAUAAUAAUGAUCAUCACACUUUUAUUGAUUACAACACAUGAAUUACAACUCGAAACUAGAACAAGAUAUGACUCUAUAUGAAUGCCUCCGGCGCUGUACCGGGAUGGUGCAAUGAAUCAAGAGUGACAUGCAUAAAAAUUAUGCACGGUGGCUUUGCCACAAAUACGAUGUCAACUACAUGAUCAUGCAAUGGCAAUAUGACAAAAGUAAUGUAUGUCAUGAUGAUGAUGAACGGAACGAUGGAAAGUUGCAUGGCAAUAUAUCUCGGAAUGGCUAUGGAAAUGCCAUAAAUAGGUAGGUAUGGUGGCUGUUUUGAGGAAGAUAUAAGGAGGUUUAUGUGUGAUAGAGCGUAUCAUAUCACGGGGUUUGGAUGCACCGGCGAAGUUUGCACCAACUCUCAAGGUGAGAAAGGGCAAUGCACGGUACCGAAGAGGCUAGCAAUUAUGGAAAGGUAAAAGUGCGUAUAAUCCAUGGACUCAACAUUAGUCAAAAGAACUCAUAUACUUAUUGCAAAAAUUUAGAAGUCAUCAAAAACCAAGCACUACGCGCAUGCUCCUAGGGGGGUAGAUUGGUAGGAAAAGACCAUCGCUCGUCCCCGACCGCCACUCAUAAGGAUGCACAAGCCAGGUACACUUCAUGCUUCAAAUUUGUUACACAACUUUAACCAUAUGUGCAUGCUACGUGACUUGCUAACUUCAAUACAAGCAUUCUUUAAAUUCAUAAUCACCCAACUAGCAUGACUUUAAUAUCACUAACUCCAUAUCUCAAAACAAUUAUCAAGUAUCAAGUUGAUCAUAGCAUCCAAUUCACUUCCUAUGAUAGUUUUUAUUAUACCCAACUUGGAUGCUCAUCAUUCUAGGACCAAUUUAUAACCAUAGCAAAUACCAAACUGUUCUAAAAGACUCUCAAAAUAAUAUAAGUGAAGCAUGAGAGAUCAACAAUUUCUUCAAAAUCACCGCCGUGCUCUAAAAUAUAUAAGUGAAGCACUAGAGCAAAAACUAUCUAGCUCAAAAGAUAUAAGUGAAGCACAUAGAGUAUUCUAAUAAAUUUCAAUCAAGGAGGCUUCUCCCAAAAGGUGUGUUACAGCAAGGAUGAUUGUGGUAAACUAAAAAACAAAGACUAAUAUAAUACACGACGCUCCAAGCAAAACAAAUAUCAUGUAGCAAAUAAAAAUAUAGCUCCAAGUAAAGUUACCAAUGAACGAAGACGAAAGAGGGGAUGCCUUCCGGGGGCAUCCCCAAGCUUAGGCUUUUGGCUAUUCUUGAAUAUCUUGGGGUGCCUUGGGCAUCCCCAAGCUUAGGCUUUUGCCACCCUUUAUUCCAUAGUCCAUCAAAUCUUUACCCAAAACUUGAAAACUUCACAACACAAAACUCAACAGGAAAUCUCAUAAGCUCCAUUAGUGAAAGAAAACAAAACCACCACAUAAGGUACUGUAAUGAACUCAUUCUUUAUUGGUGUUAAACCUACUUUAUUCCAAGUUCUCUAUGGUUCAUACCCUUACAUACUAGCCAUAGAUGCAUCAAAAUAAGCAAACAACACACGAAAAAACAGAAUCUGUCAAAAACAGAACAGUCUGUAGCAAUCUGUAACUAACGCAAACUUCUGGAACUUUAAAAAUCCUACCAAAAUAGGAAGUCCUAAACAAUUUGUUUAUUGAAUAGUACCAAAAAGAAUCAAUGCAAAAGCUCGUUCCUGUGAUUUAUUGAAUCUUUUUCGUAAGCGCAAAGUUUCUGUUUUUCAGCAGAAUCAAAUCAACCCAUAUCAUAGGUUAUCCUAUAGGUUCUACUUGGCACAAACACUAAAUGAAACAUGAAAACACAUCUAAACAGAAAGUAGAAACAAAAUUUAUUACUAAACAGGAACAAAAACAAGAAACACAAAGAAAAUUGAGUUGCCUCCCAACUAGCGCUAUCAUUUAACGCCCCUAGCUAGGCAUAAAAGCGAAGAUAGAUCUAAGUAGUGCCAUCUUUGACACUUGGUUCAUAAGUAGCUCGCAUGAUAGAUUCAUAAGGUAAUUUGACUUUCUUUCUUGGAAAGUGCUCCAUGCCUUUCUUUAAUGGAAAUUGGAAUCUAAUGUUCGCUUCCUUCAUAUCAAUAAUCGCACCAAUCGUUCUAAGGAAAGGUCUACCAAGAAUAAUAGGGCAAGAAAGAUUGCAAUCUAUAUCAAGGACGAUAAAAUCAACGGGCACCAAAUUUCUAUUAGCAACAAUUAGAACAUCAUUGAUUCUUCCCAUUGGCUUUUUAAUGGUGGAAUCCGCAAGGUGCAAAUUUAAAGAGCAAACAUCAAGAUCAUGGAAACCUAGAAUAUCACAUAAAGUUUUCGGAAUCGUGGAAACACUAGCACCCAAAUCACACAAAGCAAAACACUCAUAAUCUUUAAUUUUAAUCUUUAUAGUAGGUUCCCACUCAUCAUUGAGUUUUCUAGGUAUAGAAACUUCUAAAUUAAGUUUUUCAUCAAAAGAUUGCAUCAAGGCAUCAACAAUAUGUUUGGUAAAAGCUUUAUUUUGACUAUAAGCAUGAGGAGAAUUAACAACGGAUUGCAACAAGGAAAUACAACUUUCUAAGGAACAAUUAUCAUAAUGAAAAUCCUUGAAAUCCGAGAUAGUGGGUUCAAUACUACUUAAAGUCAUGACCUCUCCAAUCCCACUUUUACCAAAUUUAGCAUCAAGAUCUAAAAACUCUGAAUUCUUGGGACGCCUUCUAAAUAAAGUUGACUCAUCUCCAGUCCCAUUAUUAUCAAGAUUCAUAUUGCAAAACAAAGAUCUAAUAGGGGACACAUCAAUAACUUUAAGAUCUUCAUCAUUAUUUUCAUGGAAACUAGAAGAACACAGUUUUAUAAAGCAAUCUUUCUUAGCACGCAAUCUAGCGGUUCUUUCUUUGCAUUCGUCAAUGGAACUUCUCAUAGCUUUGAGAGACUCAUUGAUAUCAUGCUUAGGAGAAUAAGAUUUAAGUUUGAGAGAAUCAACAUCAAGCGAAAGUCUAUCAACGUUCCUAGUCAAAUCAUCAAUUUUGAGCAUUUUUUCUUCAAGCAAAGCAUUAAAAUUCUUUUGAGAGAUCAUAAAUUCUUUCACACUAUUUUCAAAAUCAGAGGGCAUCUUAUUAAAAUUACCAUAAGAAUUAUUGUAGGGAUUUCCAUAAUUAUUAGAGGAAUUGCAAGGAACGGUCUAGGAUUAAAGUUUCCUCUAUAAGCAUUGUUUCCAAAAUUAUUCCUACCAACAAAAUUUACAUCCAUAGAUUCAUUAUUAUUCUCAAUCAAGGUAGAUAAAGGCAUAUCAUUGGGAUCAAUAGAAGAACCCUUAGUAGCAAACAAUCUCAUAAGCUCAUCCAUCUUUCCACUCAAAACAUUAAUUUCUUCUAUAGCAUGCACUUUUUUACUAGUAGAUCAUUCGGUGUGCCAUUGAGAAUAAUUAGCCAUAAUAUUAUCAAGAAGUUCUGUAGAAUCUCCUAACGUGAUUUCCCCUAAACGUGCCUCCGGUGGCCGAAUCUAAAAGAUUUCUAGAAACAAAAUUCAAUCCGGCAUAAAAAAUUUGUAUGAUCAUCCAUAAAUUUAAACCAUGAGUAGGGCAAUUGCGAAUCAUCAUUUUCAUUCUUUCCCAAGAUUGGGAAACAUACUCAUGAUCAAGUUGUUUAAAAUUCAUAAUAUCGUUCCUAAGCGAGAUGAUCUUAGCGGGAGGAAAAUACUUAGAGAUAAAAGCAUCUUUGCACUUGUUCCAAGAAUCAAUACUAUUUUUAGGCAAAGACGAAAACCAAACUUUAGCACGAUCUCUAAGUGAAAACAGAAAUAACUUCAACUUAACAAUAUCAUUAUCCGUAUCUUUUUUCUUUUGCAUCUCACACAAAUCAACAAAGUUAUUUAGAUGAGUAGCGGCAUCUUCACUAGGAAGGCCGGAGAAUUGAUCUUUCAUAACAAGAUUCAGCAAAGCAGCAUUGAUUUCACAAGACUCAACAUCAUUAAGAGGAGCAAUCGGAGUACUAAGGAAAUCAUUAUUAUUGGUAUUGGAGAAAUCACACAAUUUGGUAUUAUCUUGCGCCAUGGAAACAAGUAAUCCAACACACAAGCAAACAGAAAAAAAGCAAGCAAAAGAGGCAAGCGGAAAAGAGAGGAGAUUGGGAAAGAGAGGGUGAAUAAAAUGGCAAGGGUGAAGUGGGGGAGAGGAAAACGAGAGGCAAAUGGCAAAUAAUGUAAAUGCGAGGGAGAUGAGUUUGUGAUGGGUACUUGGUAUGUCUUGACUUGAGCAAAGACCUCCCCGACAACGGCGCCAGAAAUCAUUCUUGCUACGUCUUGAGCUUGCGUUGGUUUUCCUUGAAGAGGAAAGGGUGAUGCAGCAAAGUAGCAUAAGUAUUUCCCUCAGUUUUUGAGAACCAAGGUAUCAAUCCAGUAGGAGGCUCCUCACAAGUCCUACGAACCUACACAAACAAACAAAGAACUUGCAACCAACGUGAUAAAGGGGUUGUCAAUCCCUUCAUGGCCACUUGCGAAAGUGAGAUCUGAUAGAGAUAAUAUGAUAAGAUAAAUAUAUUUUUGGUAUUUUAUAAUAUAGAUGUAGAAAAUAAAGAUGCAAAUAAAAGUAGAUUGGAAACUUAUAUGAUAAAAGAUAGACCCAGGGGCCAUAGGUUUCACUAGAGGCUUCUCUCAAGAUAGCAUAAGUAUUACGGUGGGUGAACAAAUUACUGUCGAGCAAUUGAUAGAAAAGCGAAUAAUUAUGAUGUUAUCUAGGCAUGAUCAUGUAUAUAGGCAUCACGUCUGCAACAAGUAGACCGACUCCUGCCUGCAUCUACUACUAUUACUCCACACAUCGACCGCUAUCCAGCAUGCAUCUAGAGUAUUAAGUUCAUAAGAACAGAGUGACACAUUAAGAAAGAUGACAUGAUGUAGAGGGAUAAACUCAAGCAAUAUUAUAUAAACCCCAUCUUUUUAUCCUCGAUGGCAACAAUACAAUACGUGUCUUGCAACCCUUUCUGUCACUGGGUAAGAACACCGCAAGAUUGAACCCAAAGCUAAGCACUUCUCCCAUGGCAAGAAAGAUCAAUCUAGUAGGCCAAACCAAACUGAUAAUUCGAAGAGACUUGCAAAGAUAACUCAAUCAUACAUAAAAGAAUUCAGAGAAGAUUCAAAUAUUAUUCAUAGAUAAACUUGAUCAUAAACCCACAAUUCAUCGGAUCUCGACAAACACACCGCAAAAAGAGAUUACAUCGAAUAGAUCUCCACAAGAGAGGGGGAGAUCAUUGUAUUGAGAUCCAAAAAGAGAGAAGAAGCCAACUAGAUAAUAACUAUGGACUCGAAGGUGUGUGGUAAACUACUCACAACUCAUUGGAGGGGCUAUGGUGUUGAUGUAGAAGCCCUCCAUGGUGGAUUCCCCCUCCGGCAGAACGCCGGCGACGGCUCCAAGAUGGGAUCUCGCGGAUACAGAAGGUUACGGUGGUGGAAAUAUUUCUUCGGUGGCUCCCUGGAUGUUUUCAGGGUAUGUAGGCUUAUAUAGGAGGAAGAAGUAUGUCGGUGGCCGCCCGAGGGGCCCACGAGACAGGGGGGCGCGCCCUGUAUGGGUGGGCGCGCCCCCCACUCUCGUGGCUGCCUCGGCUGCUUCUUGACUUGCACUCCAAGUCCUCUGGAUCACGCUCGUUCCAAAAAUCAUGCUCCCGAAGGUUUCAUUCCGUUUUGACUCCAUUUGAUAUUCCUUUUCUUCGAAAUACUGAAAUAGGCAACAAAAAAACAGCAAUACGGGCUGGGCCUCCGGUUAGUAGGUUAGUCCCAAAAAUGAUAUAAUUGUGUAAAAUAAAGCCCAUAGACAUCCAAAAUAGGUAAUAUAAUAGCAUGGGACAAUCAAAGAUUAUAGAUACUUUGGAGACAUAUCAGAUGUGCACUUGCGUUGAGCGUGCAGUGCGGAAGUGCUAUCAGAAUAAUUAUUCUGCUAAUAUUAGCAGAAUAGACCGGCUGUAUAUACCAAUUGGAUGUAAGUUAGCAUGAACUAUUGUUGUUGACAUUACCCUUGAGGUAAAAGGUUGGGAGGACACACUAUAAGCGCCUAUCUUUCUCUGUGUCCGAUUAAAACUCCAUAACCAUAAGUAUUGCAUGAGUGUUAGCAAUUGUGAAAUACUAAAUGAUAGUUGAGUAUGUGGACUUGCUGAAAAGCUCUAUUAUUGACUCUUUCCGAUGUUAUGAUAAAUUGCAAUUGCUUCAAUGACCGAGAUCAUAGUUUGUUGGUUCUCAAUGAAGUUUCUGAUUCAUACUUGACAUUGUGAAUAGAUUGUUACUUGAGCAUAAGAAAUCAUAUGACAAAUUAUAAAAAUGUUGCUGUUAUAAGAAUGAUCAUGAUGCCCUCAUGUCUGUAUUUUAUUUUAUCGACACCUCUAUCUCCAAACAUGUGGACAUAUUUUUCGAUAUCAGCUUCCGCUUGAGGAGAAGCGAGGUCUAAGCUUAGGGGGGUUGAUACGUCCAUUUUGCAUCAUGCUUUUAUAUCAAUAUUUAUUGCAUUAUGGGCUGCUAUUACAGGUUAUGUCACAAUACUUAUGGCUAUUCUCUCUUAUUUUACUAAGAGGGAGAAUGCCGGCAGCUGGGAUUCUGGGCUGGAAAAGGAGAAAAUAUUAGAGACCUAUUUUGCACAGCUUCAAAAGUCCUGAAACUCCACAAGUCAUUUUCGGAAUUAAUAAAAAAUACUGAGUGAAAGAAAUACCAAAGGGGGCCCACACCCUGGCCACGAGGGUGGGGGGCGCACCCUACCCCCUGGGCGCGCCCUCCUGCCUCGUGGGCCACCUGGCAGCCGUCUGGUGCCCAUCUUCUGCUAUAUGAAGUCUUUUACCUUGGAAAAAAUAAUAAGCAAGCUUUCGGGAUGAAACUCCGCCACCAUGAGGCGGAACCAAUCUAGGGCUCCGGUGGAGCUAUUCUACCGGGGAAACUUCCCUCCUGGAGGGGGAAAUCAUCACCAUCGUCAUCACCAACGAUCCUCUCAUCGGGAGGGGGUCAAUAUCCAUCAACAUCGUCACCAGCACCACCUCCUCUCAAACCCUAGUUCAUCUCUUGUAUCCAAUCUUUGUUCGAAAACCUUAGAUUGGUACCUGUAGGUUGCUAGUAGUGUUGAUUACUCCUUGUAGUUGAUGCUAGUUGGUUUAUUCGGUGGAAGAUCAUAUGUUCAGAUCCUUAAUGCAUAUUAAUACCCCUCUGAUUAUGAACAUGAAUAUGCUCUGUGAGUAGUUACGUUUGUUCCUGAGGACAUGGGUGAAGUCUUGCUAUUAGUAGUCAUGUGAAUUUGGUAUUCGUUCGAUGUUUUGAUGAGAUGUAUGUUUUCUCUCCUCUAGUGGUGUUAUGUGAAUGUCGACUACAUGACACUUCACCAUUAUUUGGGCCUAUAGGAAGGCAUUGGGAAGUAAUAAGUAGAUGAUGGGUUGCUAGAGUGACAGAGGCUUAAACCCUAGUUUAAGAGUUUCUUCGUAAGGGGCUGAUUUGGAUCCAUAUGUUUCAUGCUAUGGUUAGGUUUACCUUAAUACUUCUUUUGUAGUUGCGGAUGCUUGCAAUAGGGAUUAAUCAUAAGUGGGAUGCUUGUCCAAGAAAGGGCAGUACCCAAGCACCGGUCCACCCACAUAUCAAAUUAUCAAAGUAACGAACGUGAAUCAUAUGAGCGUGAUGAGAACUAGCUUGAUGAUAAUUCCCAUGUGUCUUCGGGAGCGUUUUUCUCUAUAUAAGAAUUUGUCUAGGUUGUCCUUUGCUACAAAAAGGAUUGGGCCACCUUGAUGCACCUUAUUUACUUUCAUUGCUUGUUACUCGUUAGAAAUUACCUUAUCACAAAACUAUUUGUUACCGAUAAUUUCAGUGCUUGCAGAGAAUACCUUACUGAAAACCGCUUGUCAUUUCCUUCUGCUCCUCGUUGGGUUUGACACUCUUACUUAUCGAAAGGACUACGAUAGAUCCCCUACACUUAUGGGUCAUCACCUGUUUACAUGCUGAAUAACAAAAAAAAGAGAAAUUAUUACUUAGCCCUCCUAUUUCUAACAGGAUAGGAGCCAGAAUUCAGCUAGAAUUGUGGCGAGCGUUCCAUGCAAUCAACUUCCAUUAUCACAUGCGAGAACCCUCAAAGAGAAGCAAAUGUGUUGAAGAUUGCUUUAUCACAGAUUAAAAUAAAAUAAGAUUGUAGACGCUCCACCAUGCGGUUCCUAGUAGUACUUGUAUAGUAGUACUACUAGUAGUAUUUAAUACUACUCGGAGUACUAGUAAACCUUGUGUUUGUCUCUUCGCCUCUUCAGAAAGUGGAAAUGAUGGUACUAGUACAUUGUAUGCUUCUGGCAAUCUGACACCGAAUUAAUUGUUGCACGUCCACCGCCUCCUCCAAUGCAAAGGUGCUUAGAUGAGGUGUUAAGUAUAUUAAGCCUUAGCAAUUCAAGUCCCCAAUGCAAAGGUGCUAAGCUUCAUGUAUUUAAUUAGUUGUAGACUCAGAAUUGUGCUUCUACCUAGGUACACGUGCUUAGCACCACUUCUUCCUGGGGUCACCAUACUACUCUCUCUCUCUUCUUAACUAGCAUGCCACAUCAGAUUUUUUGCCUAGUUGGCAACCUUAGCACCUGUACAAGUUGGAGUGUUGGGAGGGGCCUAAGCGAGGGAGAUCUUGCAUUAGUCAAAAGUUUCUCCUUGUCAUGUGAGCCACCGCGCGUAAACUUCUCUUUGUUCUGCAAGUUGACGGGACACAACAAAGUAAUGCUAGUCCAUACUGCCUCCUUUCCGGUUAAUAUAGCUUAAUUUGAAAAGAGAUAUAUACAAUGGCUGUCACUGUAUAUUUGUAAAAAUACGAUCAGUGGACUUCAUAAUACGCUCAUUGCGGUUAAUAUAUACAUUUCCCGGUGUUUAUACGGUCACUAGCUCACCCUGGCUGAGUAUGUUUGUAUGUGUGUGCAUGCACGUGUAGGUUGAGCACUUGAGCGUGGACAUGUGUGUUCCGUCGUGUGCUCGGACAUGCAUGCAUUAGGAAGUCACGCGCAUUUUUGUGUGCAUGUGUAGUGUGACUGUUGCAUGCAUGCACGAGGUUGUAGUCCCUCACAUUCACAUGUUCAUAUGUCAAUGAUUUGUCAAAACGUUGCAUGCAAGGUUUAAUUCUGCGUUGUUCACGCAUGCAUUCCCGAUAUUAAUACGUUGGUAAAGACAAUUCUUGAGGAAAACGAGUCGAUGAAUUGAGUACAAAGGGGAUCAAUAAACCAGGACGGAGGGAGUACUAGUAGUAAAGCAGAAGGAGGGAGUAGGUAUGUAACAACAUGCAGGAACAAAAUGCCUCUAUGCGCAUCAUGUCCACGUGUCAUGCAAGAAAACAGAGAUAAGUACAAGUGAGACUCAUGAACGGUCAUACACGUAGGGGGAGUAUGUGCAGGGGCCACGGUAAUAUGACUAAUGAGCAGUCAAAUCACACAGUAAGUUAGUCGGAUGAAGGAACCAUCAUUUCACUCUUCAAUGACAUGUACGCAAUAUAAAAAGGUUGAUAUGGAGAGAAAAAGAAAACCGCUCCACUAUAUAUAGACUAGCAGGAGCCUAAGCUACAAGCCUACUUGCUUGGAUUGCUCUCUUCACAAGCAUAGAACGACAGUGGCCACACCGCUGGUCACAGAUCCGGCCCGAUCCCGCCGCCAAGGGAAUGGGAGGAUGUUCUGCGUAGACGUGGUCGGCAGCGGCGAGGGAAAAACCCACUAUUGGUUAUGGUGUCUUGGAGUAGGGGGUACUCACCACGUCGUCUCCCAAACAGGUGGAUCGGGCCAAGGGCCCCCAUGGUGGUUCACUAUUGGGCCACUUCAGGCAGCUGAUGACAUACACGAGGAAGCUUCCACAAGACUUGGUGAUCAAGGCAAGGACUCCUCUCCAGUCUCCACCAAUGUAUUCGACUAGGAUUGUUGUUAUCCUAGGCCUCUGGUACAUUAUAUAAGCCGAGGCCAGGCUAGUCGACAGAUCAUUAUGACAUUUAUCAUCAUACCAUUAGGGUUUAGACCACAACAGAUGAUCUCGAGGCAGAUCAACUCUGUACUUGAUACCCUCUCAAUAUAAACAAGAGCAAGACGUGGGGUUUUACCUCCAUCAAGAGGGCCCAAACCUGGAUAAAACAUCGUCUCCUUCGUCCUUGUUACCAUUGAUCCGAGAAUCCAAAGCUCGGGACCCCCUACCCUGAGGUCUGCCGGUUUUGACACCGACAAUGGUGCUUUCAUUGAGAGUUCCGCUGUGAGAUCGACAAAGAAUCAAUGGCAUGCCUGCAGAUCAGCUGCGACAUCUGCAUCUUUGUCGCUGGCUAGACUAGUCACCUUGGCUCGAUCGAGGACUGCACUCCAUCUCAGAUCGUCAUGUUCAGAUGAGGGCCUUCAUCAACGUCAACUCCGAUCUCUAUCAAGAUCAUGGAGGAAUAAUCCAUGGAGCUCGGGGGCUCAACGUCAACAUUACCAUCGAGCGAUCAUGCUGUUUUUCUGGACAACGAACUUGUAUCCGCCGCCACCGCCUCCUCGAGCAUCGCUUUGAUGAUUGCUUUGGUGGAAGUGUGCGGAAUUGAGUCUACAACAAACCUACCAAAUUUAGUCAUAUUCCAAUGAGGGAAUCUUUGGCGAUCUCCAAUAUAUCGAAGCCCUGUCAAAUCUGGACGAGAAUAUGGACGAGUUUGGGGCGUGGAUUCCAGCGUAUAGCUCGAACGUCCUUUGAAAAAAAUCCAACCAUUGAUCGGGAUGCCAGCCCCAUGAUCAAAAUUGCCAUAAUAAUAAUAAAAACUCCCCUGGAAAGUUGUUUGUAUGGAGGGCACCCGAGGAUUCAGUUAGCCAUGGCUUGUGUUUGUUGGUGGAGGGGGAGUAAACUUUACUUUUACCGCUUGGGAACCACCACUAAUUUGGAAGAUAUUGAGAACUCUCAGUCGUAACAUUGACAGGAAAGGUAUACCUCCCAAAAUUAUUAAUCUCUGAUUUAAGCUUCAACCUCUGGCACCUUUGCACAUCCAUGCUUCCAUCUGCAAAGGUCCUAUCCAUUUACUUUUAUGUUAUUUUACUUUUAUUGUCGAGUCAUCACCUUCUCAAACAAGCACCAGUCCUGAGAGCACUACUGUCAUCCUCAUACACUAUGUAUAGUUAAUGUUGUGUGCAUCGUGACUGGAUCUCUUCUACCAUGAAUUACAAUGUUUAGUCGCUAAUUGAAUUGAACUUUGGAGGUGCUCUUCAUUUAUAGUCAGCUGGCAAUAAGGUACAAAUAUGUUCUUCUUUCAUCAGUUUCACGUUUGUAGCACUGACAAUACUUUUAAGCCACUGACUAUUAUAAUCUAUGAAAGAAUCCUCCUGAGCAAACAAACUCGGGCCAUAUGAGUCUAUUUUAUUUUUUAUUUUGUAGGAAACCAUGUAAAGUCCACUGAUAUUUGAUAGUUGAAAAAUUGGAAACUAAACAUUAGCAUAUUCUAGGGGACCAACACAAGUGAGAUAUGUGGCCAGCGGUAAAGAAUAUUAACCACUCAAAACAUAAACAAAAUUGUUCAACCUGAUGUACCUGGAAAUUAUCGGCGUGAAUAAAUGUCACUUUAAAAAAUAGCCUUGAAUUUUUCUAUAGUUAAUUGCCCGUGUGAUGCAACAGAGACAUACAUAUUUGAGUGGCUCAAUGACAAUCGUCCUGUAAAUCUUCCCUCCCUCUCUGAUCUUCCUCUCUCUACAUAUAUGCCCAUCUCCCUUCCUCCUAUCUCCCUCUCUCUACAUAUAUCCCCAUCUUCCUUCCUCCGGUCUCCCUUCCUUCCACCCUCUCUCGCUCAUUGUAGGCGUCACAGGGGACAGACAUUUUGUAAAGUACUAAUAAUUUCCAAGGACCAUUGUUCGCCUACAUCUAUAGCACAUGCCUCCCUUCCUCCCACCCACUCUUCCUAAGGUCUUCCUACCUUCCUAAGGUCUUCCCACGACAAAUGAAAGGGAACAGACAAGUAGCGGAGGUUUGCUUCGGAUAUUCUUCCAUUGAGAUACCAUGCUGAACGGAAGCUUCUUCGUCGAUUCCUGCACCUAUAUAACAAUCAUCAAGCAUAUCAAAUAGGGCUUGGUGUUCAGUAAGCAACUGGAAAGGAUUAAAUGGAGUCCGCCUUUCACGAAGUGCCUACCAAUGUAUCCCGUCGGAUGUCUCUUGC